rnacentral:rRNA from 1 species
GGGACUUGACAUUGUCCUGCCCGCCUAAGAAAUUAGGUUUUCUUUCCUUCGGGAAAGACGAGAUAACAGGUGGUGCAUGGUUGUCGUCAGCUCGUGUCGUGAGAUGUUGGGUUAAGUCCCACAGCGAGCGCAACCCUUGUCCUUAGUUGCUAGUUUGUUUUUCAAACGCACUCUAAGGAGACUGCCGCAGAUAAUGCGGAGGAAGGUGGGGAUGACGUCAAAUCAUCAUGCCCCUUACGUCCCGGGCUACACACGUGCUACAAUGGCCUGAACAGAGGGUCGCGAAAGAGCAAUCUUAAGCCAAUCCCAUAAAUCAGGGCUCAGUUCGGAUUGGAGGCUGCAACUCGCCUCCAUGAAGUUGGAAUCGCUA